rnacentral:rRNA from 1 species
AUUGAACGCUGGCGGCAUGCUUUACACAUGCAAGUCGAACGGUAACAGGCCGCAAGUUGCUGACGAGUGGCGAACGGGGGCGUAAUGCAUCGGAACGUGCCCAGUCGUGGGGGAUAACUACUCGAAAGAGUAGCUAAUACCGCAUACGAUCUAUGGAUGAAAGCGGGGGACCGUAAUGCCUCGCGCGAUUUGAGCUGCCGAUGUCAGAUUAGGUAGUUGGUGGGGUAAAGGCUCACCAAGCCAACGAUCUGUAGCUGGUCUGAGAGGACGACCAGCCACACUGGGACUGAGACACGGCCCAGACUCCUACGGGAGGCAGCAGUGGGGAAUUUUGGACAAUGGGCGCAAGCCUGAUCCAGCAAUGCCGCGUGCAGGAAGAAGGCCUUCGGGUUGUAAACUGCUUUUGUACGGGACGAAACGGCGCUGGUUAAUACCCGGGGCUAAUGACGGUACCGUAAGAAUAAGCACCGGCUAACUACGUG